rnacentral:lncRNA from 1 species
CACAUUUUGAUGAUGUAUGUUAGAAAUUUAACACAAUUUCAACAGUAUAUAAUUAUUCAUAACUUAUGAUUAACCUUCGUUCUUAUUUAAAAAAAAAAAUUUGUUGUUAAAUUGAACAUGUGUUAAUAAAAUUAUGUCUGUUCCAGAAAAUACUAUGUCCGCCCCUAAGGGACAGCCCUAAGCCCUUUUUAAAAAAAAAAAUCCCAGCAC